UGAAAAUGGUUGAUGUACACGUUCUGAGGGAGGGUGUGGGUCUGAAAAAGUGUACGUUUUGUACACUUUGGAAAAUGGUUGACAAUUAUGGAUGACCCCUAAAUGUAUGCAUAUUAUAUGAACUACACUACAUACAAAAUUAUUUCUAAUGUCAAAAGUCUGAACAUUUUGGAAAACUACAUGUUUUUUAAAGCCUAAGUCUUCAAUGUAUUUUGCUAUUCUCUAUCAACACAGAUGUGCCAUUGUAAAACAGCUUUAUUUGUUCUGUAGAACUUGUUGUACUAUGUACAGCAUAUUAGAAGAUAUUAAUUAUGAUUGUGAUAAGAGUCGGGUAACUUGCCUAUUUAUUUAUUGUAAUCAGAGAUAUUUGUUAUAUGUAUUUAUGGUAUUAAUUAUUACUGGUAGUCUUAACUCGGAAUAUUGUUAUUAAUUUAUAUUAAAACACUUUUUCAC
rnacentral:lncRNA from 1 species